CACACCAUGUUUCACACAGUCUACAUGGAUCGGAUCAUUUCGAAGGCCUAUUUCUCAUGAUCCAUGGGGGUUUUUGUAGACUAGGGUGUGAUCGGACAGGCGUAGUUUGUGUCGGGCGUGAUCUAACGGUGAGAUGAUGAGUUUGGGUGCUGAGAGGAGCUCUGAUGGGAGCCAAAAUUUGGUUGGGACUCGGAUUGAAGCCUUUAAAGGCCCCUGUGUGGACACAAUAAAGGCAAGGUGUGGUGUGUUUGGUCGAGGACCUAGAGCAGUAGCAGUAGCAGUAGCCGUAGCAGUGAGUUCGGUAGCAACAGUAGUGGCAGACCCUGAAGCUAGGUGUCGAUAGAGAGUAGAAGCAGGGGCUUCAGGCAGACUGUUAGACAGUAAACUAUAGUUGUUCUAGGAGUUUAGGGGUCUCCUAGAGAGAGCUUUU
rnacentral:lncRNA from 1 species